rnacentral:misc_RNA from 1 species
GGAAGGAUCAUUAACACAAAAUCCUAACACCUUGUGUGAACUCGUAACCGUCUUUUUACAUUGAACGAAACAACAGAGAUGCAUUGGCAGGCGAGCAAUCGGCUGGCUGGUGCAUUACCUAAUCAGAACAACUGCUAGCAACGGAUGUCUUGGUUCUCGCAACGAUGAAGAACGCAGCGAAUUGCGAUAAGUAAUGGGAAUCGUAAGAUCCAGUGACUCAUCAAAUCUUUGAACGCAAACGGCGCUCUCUGGUACUCCGGAGAGCAUACCUGUUUGAGCAUCAACAUAGACCUCACACUCCUUAUUUGGAAUGUGGUGAAUGAGCGUCAUGCUAACCGCAUGUUGCUUGAAGUUGAUGGCUGGAGGCAGCCAACCAACGGUGGGGUUUCGGCCUGAGCGUUGGAUAGGCAGUUUCUGAACAGCUUUGAUCAAACUUGAUCUCAAAUCAGGUAAGACUACCCGCUGAAUUGAAGCAUCUCAUUAAGCGGAGGAAAAGAAACUAACAAGGAUUCCCCUAGUAACGGCGAGUGAAGAGGGAAGAGCUCAAACUUAAAAUCUGGGAGGUCUCCUCCCCGAAUUGUAGUCUAGAGAAGCGCAACCGGUGCUUGUCCUUCGUCCAAGUCCUCUGGAAGGGGGCAUCAGAGAGGGUGACAAUCCCGUAUCUGGCGAGGGAACAGGUGCCAUACGGUGCGUUCUCGACGAGUCGAGUUGUUUGGGAAUGCAGCUCUAAAUGGGUGGUAAAUUCCAUCUAAAGCUAAAUAUUGGCGAGAGACCGAUAGCGAACAAGUACCGUGAGGGAAAGAUGAAAAGAACUUUGAAAAGAGAGUUAAAAGUGCCUGAAAUUGCUAGCAUGGAAGCGAUUGAAACUGGUUACCUGCUGGGGAGAUUGGGUGGUGACUUCCGUUCUGCGGAUUUGCUGCUCACCUCUUCUCGGCAGAAGUCAACUCCGGUUACUGGUGCAGUGAGCGGCUGUAGGGAAGGUAGGCUCAGGCUUUCGGGCAUGAGUUGUUAUAGCUCUAUGGCUGUGCUGUCUCGGGGACUAGGAUUGGGUGCUGUAGCGUCGGGGCUUACUAGCGGUGGCAUUCGUGCUGCUGUUACGGGUUUCGGGGCUGCGGUGCUCUUGUUGACGCAACGGUUUUAACCGUCCCGUCUUGAAACACGGACCAAGGAGUCUAACAUAUAUGCGAGUAUUGUGGUGGCAAACCACAUUGCGCAAUGAAAGUGAAGGCCUGUUCUGCAGGCUGAGGUGUGAGCCCGCAAGGGUGCAACAUCGACCGAUCUGGAGGUUUUCUGAAAGAUUUGAGUAAGAGCAUAUACGUUGGGACCCGAAAGAUGGUGAACUAUGCCUGGGUAGGAUGAAGCCAGAGGAAACUCUGGUGGAGGUCCGAAGCGGUUUUGACGUGCAAAUCAAUCGUCGAAUCUGGGUAUAGGGGCGAAAGACUAAUCGAACCAUCUGGUAGCUGGUUCCCUC